rnacentral:misc_RNA from 1 species
CUACUCAUGGGUUGCUCUUGUGAGGCCAAGUAUCCCUCUGCUCCCUUUUUCUAGUUGGUCGUGUUGUGCGUGUGGGUCUCGCUCUCUCUCUCUCUCGGUGCGUGCCCGCUCGUAUGUGUAUCUGUGUGUGUGGGUGGAGGUGCUCGUCGUGGUUGCUUUUGUUGGCAUAGUGGCGCACGCACUCGCCUUCUGUGCGUGCGUGUAUGGGCGUUCACUGGAGUUUUUUUUUAUUUGGUUGUCUUUCUUUGUUUGCUUCUUGCGGGUGUUCGCUUCUGCGUCCGUGCUCGUCUUCUUCCCUUGCCGCUUGUUGUUCGUUUCGUCUGCGGCACUUUCCUCUGCCCGGCUCCUCAACCGCUUUUUUUUAAUUUUCGGUUGGUCACCCGCUUCACUCCUGCGCGAGGCCUUUGACUACUUCGAGUGUGAGCUGCUCUUGCUCUCGCCGCGUAGUAGGCGAACACUGUGUGCCGUGGUCUCUGCGUGGGAUAGGGAGAUGCCAAGUGUGUGAUGCUGCCACCAGUACGGACGGCCACUGGAAACAAAGCGCAGUAGUGCAAGGACGAGGGGCGGCCGGUGCAACUGCUGAGAGCCGGGGGGAUGGAGGGCGCGCGCUGCCAGCGGUGAAAAUGUAGGUUUAGCCGUGAUCGCACCACGAGCAGACCCACCCGGGCGGGACGCAAAAAAGGACCUUCGCGGCACACGCGUUUUGGCGGCUCUUUACUUUUUGGAGGAAACCACAAACAAACGACGCAAAACGAAAAAAAAAGCAAAGAGGAGCCGUCCGUGGGGCAGCUGUGUUGAUCGCUUUCAUGGAGAAGCAAGCAUCCCCUAAAACGCAGAUGGAUGAUUGAUGGAAAAGACGAGGACUCACGUCCGCGUCGGGAGCAAUCGCUGUAACUGCACG